UAACUGUACAAAUAUUAGAAAUCUCUUUCAUGAAGUAGAACAAAUGUAUGACACUAUAACUAGAAGUUAAUAAUAAAGGGGCAUAUAGGGAAAAAUAUACAUAUUGCAAACUAUGUACUACAGUUGGUAGCAUUUUAAUAUACUUUCACCAAGAGUAAGAAACAUACUGUACAAAUACCAUGAGUCAGUAACGAAGGGGUGGAUUUAGGGGUAUGAGAGGGUUUGAGUUUUCUUUAUUGUUUUUUAUUUCUUUUCCAGAAUAAUGGAUGCACAGCGGGUAUGAUGGUACUGUGGGCAGUUGUGCACAUUGGAUGAUGAUAUGGUGUAAUGAACAUGUACACAAACUGAUUGUGGUGACGAAUGCACAACUAUAUGAUGAUACCAUGAACCACUGAUUGUAUACUUUGGCUGAUUAUCUGCUAUGUGAACAUAUCUCAAUAAAAUUGGAUUAAUAAA